rnacentral:rRNA from 1 species
CUGCCGCCGGCGACCGGCGCACGGGUGGGUAACACGUAUGCAACCUGGCCGUGACAGAUGGAUAACCGGGAGAAAUCCCGCCUAAUACAACAUAAUGCCGGGAGGGGACAUCCCCUGCCGGCCAAAGGGGGCGACCCCGGUCACGGAUGGGCAUGCGGCGCAUUAGGUAGUUGGUGGGGCAACGGCCCACCAAGCCGACGAUGCGUAGGGGUUCUGAGAGGAAGGUCCCCCACAUUGGAACUGAGACACGGUCCAAACUCCUACGGAAGGCAGCAG